ensembl:lncRNA
AUUUUGCAGAAAAAGUUACCGAAGCUUUAAUGGUACUAGAAGUACCAUGUUUCUGAAUGGUAUGUGGUAGGACCUGGGUUUGAACCUGGAACUUUGGGCUCCACAAUGCCCUCCCUAAGAGGAAGACCGUCACUGCUAAGAGUCUCAAUGUCACUGACUCCUUCCCUGACCUGGUCUAGUUAGAAGUGUCAUACACCUGCUUUUCCUCUCUCUUGACCCUUUAUGUCUCUGGCUGUCAGAAAAAGGAUGCUUGAAGUGAUCUUCCUUGGCCUUGAGGCAGGGAGCACCCAGCACCUCUCAGGGAGGUUUAAAGUCAGGGUACUUCUCUGAAAAUGAGAUGGAUGUUGUGCCUUAUUUCCACAUCUUGGUUCCCCUUCUGACUGUUUUGUGACAUCAGACAACCCCCUUAAUCACUCAAUUUCCUCAUUAGACCAUGUGGAGAGCAAUGCCCCCCCCCCCGACUGUAAGACUGUGAAAGGGCCCAACUCUGGACAAUUUUCUUCGGAUACUCUGGAUGUCAGAUGGGUUUCCUCAGAAGACCUAGGUCCCAUGGAAUGAAUCCUUCCUGACUGAAGGUGCUUGGAGGAUAAGGAUAUUGCUUUGUGGGGAUAUAAGAGAUGGUGGGGAAGUGAGACUUGCCUGAGUGUCUCUCUGCCAUGAAGAAAACUGGCUUUGCUUUAUUGACCAGAGCAGAUGUACUCUUUGAGGAACUCAGCAGGGUAAGUAUGAGUUGGGUAAGAUAUCCUAUCUACCAGCUCCUAGGAUUUUUAUGAGUAGAAGCUCUAACUGCUGACACGUUCCUGGUCAAGAGAAAGCAGAUCCUCACCAUUAUCACCUGUACUUUCUUGGAUUUAUUCCAGUUGCACAUCUCUGAAGUUUUCCUUUUAUUCUGCUUGGACAGCACAUUAGAUGAGAUCAAACGCUGAGAGAGAGACAUAAGCACUGCUUUGGCACUGUUGCUAGAAACUCUUGGGAGAAUGAGCAUUGUGUACCAUUUGCCCAUUGCUUGCCGACUUCAGUAGCAAGAGUCUUCAGAAUGCUCCUGGAUAAACAUAAUCUUUGUGGCCAUACAUUGUUUUAUGAGCUGAGUCUUUAGCUUGGCUGGCUCCUUAAAUGCUGCUGUCUGAUUCUCCAGGCAGCAGAAAACAAGGAAAGAAGAGCUCACCGAGCUUUGUGGAUGGCCAAUUUCACUUGCCAAAGGUGAUGGGGAAUUUACCCUUAUGGAAUUUGCUUAUGACAGAAGAAUUGCUGAUCAACUUAAAUUUCAUUUCUGAUAGAAAGAUGAUGCUGUCUGCAUUUCUUGUACAUUGUUUACAGAAUGUGUGUUUGAUUAUAGGCUAUUUUGAAUAUCCACCAGUCUGAAAGAGUUUCCUGCUGAAAGCAUGACUACUUCCUUACUCAUCGAGUUUCGUUUAUCAUUUAAGGAUGAAUGCCCUCCUAUCCUGUAGCUGAGGUGUGCAAUCAUGGUGUGGACAAUUUUUUUGGAGGGAGUCUGAAGAAACUGUUAUCUAAGAUGGAUUCAUACUGGAAGCAAGAGAGCAAACUGGGAAAAAUGGCCUUAGGCUCUGUGAUUGUCAUUGUGUACAUUAGACAAGACAAUGAAAGUAGAGGAUGAAAUAAGACCUUUCUGGUUGUUCAGAAGGCCUGUGUAGCUUGGCCCCACUUACUGGACAGAGCUUCCUGGAGAGAGUUUUUCGAGAAUGUGGCUUCAUUCCAUAGUAUUGCUUUAUGGUGGCCAUUGGGCAGGGGGAUCUAUCUUCCUGGGAGUUAGUUACAUAAAUAAAGAC